rnacentral:lncRNA from 1 species
CGAAAUUAAUAACUAUUAAGGUUGUUGAUGAUUCAAGAUUUUAGAAUUUCUGUAUUUACAAAAAAAAAAAUUAAAAUCAGAUAUAUUGAUAUAUAAAGGAAAAAUAAAUAAUACUUACAGACAAGCAAACAAAGAGGGAGUUGGUGUUCGCUCUUGAGCGAACGAGCGAGCAAACGAGAAAUAUUUCUGACAGCGAGCGCGCGAAGUGAGGGACUUUAACCAUGAGAGAGGGAAAAUCUGACCGUGAGCAAACAAGUCUGGUGGGUCCUCCGCGUGCAAGCGUUUUGGGUUCUCAACAUGUUAGCGUUUUGGGUUCUCGAUCAGCGUGCUAGCUUUUUGGGUUCUCAGCGUGCGGUUCGUCUGACAGAGGAGCGAGCACCGUUUUGCUCUGAGCGAGUCUGGUGGGUUCUCCGCGAGCACCAGAGUGUCCGCGAGAGAGCGCCGGAGUGUCCGCGAGCGAGCGCCUAAGCGACCGUGGUUCCACGUCUUUGACUGCGAGCGACAGAUCGGUCUCUUUCCACAAACAUCAGACUCCUCAUACAGCUAGCAGAAGAUGGAAAGAAACCUCGUUAUUGGUUAAUGACCUAUAAGUCGAUGAUUAACAUGUCAUAUUCAUUUCAUACAUCUUAUAUGUUUUUAUUGGAACUUGUAAUUUUUUAUCUUAUAUUUUAUUUACAUCG